UUGGAAUUGAAUGAGCUUCAAAAGAGCAAACGGACUCCCCGAUCAAGUAAGAACACUGCCUCUGCUGUUCAAGCUAAACGCAAAGCCAAGAUCCUUAAGGAGCCGGUGGCUUCAAUUCAAUCAUGAAUCAUGAGACGCUGGGGCUCAUUUAUGCGCUUAUAAAUUUGAAUAUAGGCCUCCGACAAAGGAAGAACUUCGGGUAGAGCUGCUCCUGUAUGAAGAUCUUCCAUUUCAAACCAUUUUCCAGAACCUAUCAAAAUACAGAAUUAAAGAGUA